GAUGAACGCUGGCGGCGUGCCUAAUACAUGCAAGUCGAGCGAACAGACGAGGAGCUUGCUCCUCUGACGGUAGCGGCGGACGGGUGAGUAACACGUGGAGAACCUACCUAUAAGACUGGGAUAACUUCGGGAAACCGGAGCUAAUACCGGAUAAUAUAUUGAAGCGGAUGGCUCGAUAGUGAAAGACGGUUUUGCUGUCACUUAUAGAGGGGACCGCGCCGCAUUAGCUAGUUGGUAAGGUAACGGCUUACCAAGGCAACGAUGUGUAGCCGACCUGAGAGGAUGAUCGGCCACACUGGAACUGAGACACGGUCCAGACUCCUACGGGAGGCAGCAGUAGGGAAUCUUCCGCAAUGGGCGCAAGCCUGACGGAGCCACGCCGCGUGAGUGAUGAAGGUCUUCGGAUUGUAAAACUCUGUUAUUAGGGAAGAAAAAAUGUGUAAGUAACUAUGCACGUCUUGACGGUACCUAAUCAGAAAGCCCCGGCUAACUACGUG
rnacentral:rRNA from 1 species